rnacentral:rRNA from 1 species
UACGUAGGGGGCAAGCGUUGUCCGGAUUUAUUGGGCGUAAAGAGCGUGUAGGCGGCCUGAAAGGUCAGCUGUGAAAACUCGAGGCUCAACCUCGAGACGUCGGUUGAAACCAUCUGGCUAGAGUCCGGAAGAGGAGUGUGGAAUUCCCGGUGUAGCGGUGAAAUGCGCAGAUAUCGGGAAGAACACCCGUGGCGAAGGCGGCACUCUGGGACGGUACUGACGCUGAGACGCGAAAAGCGUGGGG